rnacentral:lncRNA from 1 species
CUGUGAAAAAGAAUAAUGUAGGAGGAUGACAGCAAGGUAAAAAAUGAUACCUGGUGUUUUUCCUCAGCUAGAGGUAAUAAAGCACUCUGCGGGACCUUUGUUGUGAUUUCACAGUAAACUCCAGAAAUUAAUUUUGGUUUGCGUGUGGGUGUGCUUCUUUCUGUGCCCUCCACCCUCUCCCCCAUUAUUCCUCUUCCUUCCAAUUUUGCUAAAGGUGGUAUCGAGAUGAGCAUUUCUGCAGCGGCUGUUCAGACUUGCCCAAAAUGUGUGUGACGACGCACUCCUACCCACACAGCCACCAGAGCAUCAGUCCUGCUGCAAGCCUCAGAGCCCAGGGCUGUGCCCUCACCCUGUCCUUCUCCUGCUCCUUGCCAGGUCAUCCGUCCUGCUGCCUGGGCAGAGAGGUUUGGCAGCCUGCCCUGCAGCCCUGCUGAAGAGGAUGGUGAGCCACAGCCCGGAUCACUCCUGUGCAAUAUAAGCAUCAACAUGACUGGUGGCUGUCAGCAUGCUGCAUCAGCAAAGGUCCAUAGAAAAAAUGGUGCUUGCUGUAGAGUCACAUCAGCCUCAGCAGGACCUGCAUGGAGCCAGCUGUGGGCUAGCAGUGAUCGCCAGGGCUGCAUGACCACGAGUGACACGUGGGCUCUGGACAGAGAGACCUGACCUGAACAGCAAGCAAAUGCUGUCUUGAUAUGCCACGAGUGAGAGAAGCUCAGCACCCAGUGAAUGUCGUUGCAGUGGAAACCUGGCAGAAGUUGUCAUACCUUGAAGGUGAUAUCUUCCCAUGGCAGGCUCAGGUAAAUGACCAGGACACAAGUCUUCAGACACGUCUAGUAGUUCUGAAUACUGUAAUGUUUUGAAAUUAAUUUGCCAGAUGUGGUGAACCACAGAAGGCUGAAAUAACCUUUCUUCUUUAUUUCCUUAAACUUGGUACAGGCCUUCUUUCUUUGUCUCCUUGAAUCUUCCCAAGAGAUCCAGCCUGGCCACACUGGCUUUGUACUAACUGAUGCCUAGAAAAAUAUAGAAGCACUAAGUAAGUAUUAAGCUUUUCUUAUUUCUACAUCAAAGAUAUUUUCAAGUCAGUUAUAAAUCUCUGUUCCAUUUGCCCUGCCUUAUAUUUCCAAGAGAAUUCUACACCAAGUAAAACAUUGAUUUAUUUAAAAUACAGCUAAUGAGCUUUCUUUGUCCUCCCUCUCAUGGUGGAAAAUCCCACCUGAUCCCUAAUUAACAAAUUGAUUUAUUAAAAGUAUAGCUAAUGACCUGCUUUUGUCCUUUCCUCUGAGCUGCAGAAUCCCACCUGAUCCCAAAUUGAUCUGACCACAUGGGCAAAGCACUGCCCACGUCUGGUGGCCUUCCUUCCUCAUGCAGGCUAGGCAGCCAAGAAGCACCAGCCAGAACAAGGGGAGCAGAGCAGCACUUGCAUGCCAGGGCUGGUUCACCUUGGGCUCAAACUCUUGUAAACAGUUUGUGGCAAGCCUAGCAGAGUUUGGAAGUGUGUGUGGGCAUAACAAGAGCUCACAAAUACCACACAUCAACAAGAUCUGACCUUGGACUUGAACUGAUAUGGAUAUAUCUGCAGGCAACACGAGGCCAUUACAUCUCGGUACGUAAACACUGAGGUAUCCUUGGCCCUCUUCCCUGUGGUGUUCUGCAGAAACAAGCAGUGGGUCAUUCACUAUAGACAAUGCCUCCAGAGACAGGAACUGAAAAAUAAUAGGCUGUUUUAGACGAUGCAAGACAGAAAGACGUUUUUUCUGGCAAUAAAGACAAGUGGUCACAGGUUAUGUGAAUUUCA